CAAUAGCGUAUAUUUAAGUUGUUGCAGUUAAAAAGCUCGUAGUCGGAUUUUGGCUGAGAACGAUCGGUCCGCCGUUAGGUGUGCACUGAUUGGUCUCAGCUUCCUGGUGAGGAGGUGUGCUUCACGGCCACUUAGUCACCGUGGUUACUUUGAAAAAAUUAGAGUGUUCAAAGCGGGCUUACGCUUGAAUAUAUUAGCAUGGAAUAACACCAUAGGACUCCUGUCCUAUUUCGUUGGUCUCGGGACGGGAGUAAUGAUUAAGAGGAACAGUUGGGGGCAUUCGUAUUUCAUUGUCAGAGGUGAAAUUCUUGGAUUUAUGAAAGACGAACUUCUGCGAAAGCAUUGGCCAAGGAUGUUUUCAUUGA
rnacentral:rRNA from 1 species